GCCCGGGUGGUGGAAUGGUAUACACGAGGGACUUAAAAUCCCUUUCCUUCACAGGAUUGCGAGUUCGAGUCUCGCCCCGGGCACCA
rnacentral:tRNA from 1 species